rnacentral:rRNA from 1 species
AUUGAACGCUGGCGGCAGGCUUAACACAUGCAAGUCGAGCGAGCGGCGGACGGGUGAGUAAUGUCUGGGAAACUGCCUGAUGGAGGGGGAUAACUACUGGAAACGGUAGCUAAUACCGCAUACCAUCAGAUGUGCCCAGAUUGGAUUAGCUAGUAGGUGGUGUAAGGGCUCACCUGGGCGACGAGCCCUAGCUGGUCUGCGAGGAGGACCAGCCGCACUGGAACUGAGACACGGGCCAGACUCCUACGGGAGGCAGCAGUGGGGAAUAUUGCACAAUGGGCGCAAGCCUGAUGCAGCCAUGCCGCGGGUGUGAAGAAGGCCUUCGGGUUGUAAAGCACUGUCAGCGAGGAGGCGUUACUCGCAGAAGAAGCACCGGCUAACUCCGUGCCAGCAGCCGCGGUAAUAC